rnacentral:rRNA from 1 species
UUAGUCAAUGCUCGCAAGAGUGAACUAGCUAACUGGAAUCAUGAGUGUGUCACUUGUGAUAAGGUAAAGGAAAAAUUAUGAUGUCACUUUACUAGUAGUGUUGUCCAAAGCUGGUGCCAGAAGACUCGGUAAUGCCAGAGACGCAAGCGUUAGUCAUCUUGAUCAGGCGUAAAGGGUAUGUAGGCAGCUUUAAAAUAAUUAAAGAUAGAAUCAUAUAGAGGUCACUUUUAGAGAAUUCUUAGAGUAGGGUUGAUAUCUUUAGAUACUAAGAGGAAUACUAAUUAGCGAAGGCACUUUUCCAAAUUAUGAUUGACGCUGAGAAACGAAGGGGAGGAUAGAAAAUAGGAUUGGAGACCCUGGUAUUCCUCUCUGUCAACGAUGAAUGGUAGUUGCUAGUAUAAAUUUAUUAGUGACGAUGCUAACGCGUUAACCAUUCCGCCUUGUGAGUACGACUGCAAAGUUGAAAACAAAAAAAUUAGUCGGUUUCGGAGCAAACGAAGUGAAGCAUGUUAUUUAAU